AACAUCUGAUAGGAGGAGGAGGAAGGGAGGGUGGAAGGGCAGAGGAGGAACAUCUGGGCAGAGAGGAGGAGGAAGAGUGGGUGGAAGGGCAGAGGGGGAACAUCUGGGCAGAGAGGAGGAGGGGUGGGUGGAAGGGCUGAAGGGGAACAUCUGGGGAGAGAGGAGGAAGAGGAGAGUACAGAGGAGCUCUGGAUGGGAGCUGGGGGCCAGCCUGUGAGACAUGGGGGGAAGGAGAGGGCCCAGCAGACAGCGAGCAAAUGGAUGUAGCCACGGUGGCCUGGGGUUGGGGGGUUGUGGGGAGUGAAGUCCCAGUGUGGAGUGUAGAGGAGAGGCUUGGGGGUGAUGUAGAGGAGAGGCUUGGGGGUGAGGUUGACGAGAGGCCACCUGGGGGUGAGGCUAUGGGGAAGUGGGGAGUGAGAGGCUGUGAGGAAGUGAACAGAGGGGCCAUCUGGACAGGAGUAGACACAGGAGAGGGAGGGAGGGAGUGGGUGGGAGGAGGAGGGCCACCGGCUGGGAGGAUGGCAGGACCAGGCCCAUAUUCUGUGGAAACUGAGUGAGAUGGUGUUGGGGGUGGGGUGGGGGCUCAGCUGGUCACUAGAGAGCCCAGACGGAGGGCAGGAGGCCAAGGGGCCAUGGGGAAAGGCAGAAGGUGCACAUCAGAGGAGAGGCCCCUGGAGAGUCGCCUCAGAAGGGAGUGAAAGGGCAGGGUCCGUGGAGCAGGAAAGAAAAGCGGGUGGCAGAGACACUGGUGGAGGCUGCUGAAGCCAGCAGGGUGGGCUGGUGGGCGGAGUGAGGGCUGAGUCCAGCAGGCAGGUGUGAAACAAAGGCAAGGGAGCAGGCUGAGCAGGGGCAGGGGGCUGAAGAAGGAGCACAGAGCAGAGAAGAUGCUGCCUCCAGGGAGUGAGUCACAGAUGGCAGCCCAGAGGAGGCAGGCUGGGAGCAGGGAGUGUGAGGCUAAGAGGUGGGAGCAGAGAGGGGAUAUCACGGCUGGAGUGAUGGUGGCAGGGCUGGAGAAGGAACAAGUAUGUACAUCCUCCAGAGGAAGAUUCUCCCCAAGGGCUGUGUCUCCCUGAGAGUGUGAAGGAUCCCAGUCUGCGUGGAGCAGGACAGGUGGCUGGAAGAAACCCACCCUGGGUCUCCAGGCAGGUUGGCAGAUGGGCAGGUGGAGGAUCGGUAGUGUGAAGCAGAGAUGAUGGGGACAGUGACUGGGAUGGCAGCACACAUCCGAGAAGAGGCUGGGUGGCUCAGGUGUUAGGACCGUUCCGUCCAUAUGGCAGUGGGCAAAGAGCAGGAGCGCAGGUGGGAUAUGGGAUGUGGGACAGAUCAGGCCAAUGGGAAGGGUCUCUGGGUUUAGCACUAAUGGCUUGUCAGAGAAGAGGGUAGAGUGUCUCUGAAAUGCAGAACUGCAAGGCUAGGGCUCUUAGGAGUAGGUUCAGAGGGCAGGUCAGUUAGUGUGGGGUUUUGGGGACCAAGAAGCUGGUGUUAGUGGGAGCAAAGACUAGCCGAACAGACGUCACAGGCAAUGACUGCUGGCCGUGAAUUAGGACUCCAGGUGGUGGAGAAAUAGAGGGCGUGUGGAAAAGGGAGCAAAGGGCAUCUGGAGGACUGUAGUGAGAACAGAGACAGAGGCGGGGCCAAGACAGGCUCCUUCUGCACCUAGUGUAGACAGAAAGUGUGGGUUUGGGCUGGGUCAGGGUAGUUGACCAGAGGGACAAGGGGGGUGGUGGUGGUGAGGAUGUCUGGGUGUCUUGUUCAUGGGAAGGCUGGAUCCCAUGAACCACAGAGGUGGUGAGACAGAAUGAGGUGUGGAGUGACAGAGGGUCUGAAGUCUGCAAGCGGGUGCUGUGAGGGGCAUGUGACUGAGGGGAACAGAAGGCACGGAGGUGUCUGGAUGGAUUCAACUAGGGCCAAGAGGGCAAGGCUGAUGCAGGGGGCGCUUCCGGGGUUCAAGGA